AUAUUAUUUUAUUAAAAAAAAAUCUGUUCUUAUCAGUUUAAUAUCUGAUACGUCCCCCAUCGGGGGGGACUACAUAUAAAUGGAUUUUCUAACAUGGAGUGGAAAUGGGGCUUGCUCCGUCCGCUCCACGCAUCGACCCGGUAUUGCAGUACCUCCGGGAACGUAUUUUUG
rnacentral:snRNA from 1 species